rnacentral:lncRNA from 1 species
CCACAAGGGGUGGCGAGGCAAGGCAGGGAGGAGGAGGCCGGGAUUUAGUUCUGGCUCACUGAUGGUCGUGAGGCUCAGACAGGUCACUUCACGACUGGAUGUCUGUGUUUGUAUCUGUAAGGUUGUUUGAACCGCAUCCUUCCAGCUAAACACUCUAGCCAGUUCCAAAUACCUGUGACCUUCUUGGUUUGCCAUUUCUGGCACAGUUGACAAAGAUUCUUACAUCGUUAUUAAGGACGAGUACUAAACUCUUCACUUGGUGUUACUGUGCCUUUAAGAACUAUGAUAUAUAUUCUCCUUAAAUGCGAAUUCUGUGUUAAGAAUGUUUUCUGGACUCUUCUCAGAUAGUAAGUCUAUAAACUAUGAAUUACCUUUAAAACUCAGUAUUUUUCUAAACCAGAUACUAGAUUUUUCCCCUUUUCUCAAGAAUUCUUUUUUUUUUUUUUUAAGACUUACUUAUUUGGGAGAGAAAGUGAGAGAGAGAGCAUGAGUAGGACAAGGAGGGGGAGAAGCAGACUCCCCACUGAGCAGGGAGCUUGAUGCAGGCCUCAAUCCCAGGACCCCAGGAUCAUGGAACCGAUAGACGUAUAUAGAUAGAAGUAUUCUACUUUGGAACUAGGGGCAAUCUUCAAUAUUAUUUUUUCCCCAAAUAUAUCAGAAUGUACUUGACUUACUCUUAAAUGCAUUUUUCACUAAUAUGGCAUCUUCAUUUAUCUUAAGGGACAUAUUUGGAGAAGACUGUGUAAGCGUAAAAGAUGGUUCUGUUCUCAGCGUCACAGUGGACGGGAAAACUGCUAAUAUAAACUUGGAGACCCGGACUGUAGAGUGCGAAGAAGGAAGCGAGGACGAUGAGUCCCUCCGAGAGAUGGUGGAGCUCGCCGCGCAGAGACUGUACGAGGCCCUCACACCGGUCCACUGACACCUCGAGGUCUCUCUUAAGUACUCCUAAAUUACCAACUAAUUUGCCCAGGAUUCCUGAACUCCUAAAUAAAAGGCCUGUUAUUUCAGAAUGCAUUGAUUCUGCUUCCAGGCACGUGCACAGCUGCCCUGGAAACCUUAAAGAUCGGCUCCUAGCAACUGAACCAGAAUGUUGCGGUGUCCUUUCUAAGGGAAGAAAAUGCAUGAUGGUUUGUAUUUUCUUACCCAUAUUCUGAAUGUGAAUUAAUAGAGAUGAUCACCUAACGCGCCUUUUCUCUUCCUUCCCUCCUGAUCCUCUUGGCAGAUUCCGUAAUUUGUGCAUUUGUAAAAUUACGACUUUCGGGAUUCGGUGAUAUUUUCUUAAUAUCUGCACAUUCAGUUCAGAGAUUCAGACUAAUUUUUUACAGCUAAGUUCAAGGGUAUUCAGCUGUGAGUGGUUGCAUUGCUGUGUGUGGUCAUUAGGCCAGUUUCCUGAAGCACGUGUGGUUCAGACCUGCCAGUUUAACUGGACACAGGAGUUUGGGGUGCAGUCCAGGUGAGCAGGGUGGUGUUGGGGGUCUGCCUGACGCCUCUGCGGGGGGUGGGAGGGCCAGGCACGUGCAGAAGCUCGCUCUCCCCUUCACAGCCCAACUCGAGAGUGGCUCACACUGGCCGGCAAGCUAAAGUGUCCACCAACCACAGCCCCUAAACUCCACCAGCCCUGUUCGUGCUCUUCUCGCCUCACCUCUUGGUGACUUAGAGCCACCGAGCACUCCUUCCCUGCCUCCUAGUGAGAGACCCGAGUGCACAGAUCUGAACUUUUACUUGAAAUGAAAUAUUUCUGUAAGAUACACCACUUUGUCUCUGACUCAAACCAAAGCUCUAAGGGUCACCUUUUGUGUCACGUAAAAGUUUGUUAUCAUAGAUUAUCUUAGAAAGCAAUGUAUAGGGGAUCCCUGGGUGGCUCAGCGGUUUGGCACCUGCCUUUAGCCCAGGGCGUGAUCCUGAGGUCCCAGGAUCGAGUCCCAAAUCGGGCUUCCUGCAUGGAGCCUGCUUUUCCCUCUGACUGUGUUUCUGCCUCUCUCUCUGUGUCUCUCAUGAAUGAAUGAAUAAAUAAAAUCUUUUAAAAAAAAAGCA